rnacentral:rRNA from 1 species
AUGGCUCAUAACCCGCGAUACAUCCGCCGCCUCCUCCUCGUCGCCGCCGCCGGGGCCUUCAUCUACAUCCAAGUGCGGCUCUUUUCUACCCAGUCUCAUGACGCCGGACGCCUCGCCCUCGCGGAAGCAGGUCAACCUAAUCUCCCCGUUGCCGCUGUUGUCAUAAUGGCUUGCAAUCGACCAGACUAUUUGCAGAGGACAGUUGAAUCUAUCCUCAAGUAUCAGAAAGCAGUUGCUUCAAAGUUCCCACUAUUUAUAUCACAGGAUGGAACAAAUGGAGAAGUUAAAAAUAAGGCCUUGAGUUAUGCCCAAAUAACAUUUAUGCAGCAUGUAGAUCUUGAACCUGUGCACACUGAAAGUCCAGGGGAAAACAUUGCAUAUUACAAGAUAGCUAACCACUAUAAAUGGGCAUUGGAUGAGCUACUUAUUAAGCAUAAUUUUCGUCGAGUAAUCAUUCUGGAAGAUGACAUGGAGAUCGCCCCAGAUUUCUUCGACUACUUUGAGGCUGCAGCGAAAUUACUUGAUACUGACAAGUCGAUAAUGGCUGUUUCUUCUUGGAAUGACAAUGGGCAGAAGCAGUUUGUUUAUGACCCAAAAGCUCUUUAUCGUUCGGACUUCUUUCCUGGGCUUGGAUGGAUGCUAACAAAGUCAACAUGGAUGGAGCUGUCACCAAAGUGGCCCAAAGCUUAUUGGGAUGAUUGGGUGAGGCUAAAGGAGGUACACGGAGGCCGGCAAUUUAUUCGACCAGAAGUAUGCAGAACAUACAACUUUGGCGAGCAUGGAUCAAGCAUGGGACAGUUCUUCGAUCAGUACUUGAAACCAAUCAAGUUAAAUGAUGCUCAUGCCCACAAUCUGGAUAUGGACGUAAGGAUUCAGUAUAACGACCAGGGCGAUUUCGAGCGUGUAGCUCGUCAGUUUGGAGUAUUUGAAGAGUGGAAGGACGGUGUUCCACGGGCAGCUUACAAAGGCGUGGUGGUCUUCCGAUACAAGAGCAGUCGAAGACGAAUAUACCUUGUCGGCCCUGACUCUCUUCGUCAACUCGGGGUUUAA